rnacentral:piRNA from 1 species
UACCUGCUCGGGAGAGUGCCUUCCA